rnacentral:rRNA from 1 species
ACUCAUCACCCUGUGACAUACCUAAAACGUUGCCUCGGCGGGAACAGACGGCCCCGUAACACGGGCCGCCCCCGCCAGAGGACCCCCUAACUCUGUUUCUAUAAUGUUUCUUCUGAGUAAACAAGCAAAUAAAUUAAAACUUUCAACAACGGAUCUCUUGGCUCUGGCAUCGAUGAAGAACGCAGCGAAAUGCGAUAAGUAAUGUGAAUUGCAGAAUUCAGUGAAUCAUCGAAUCUUUGAACGCACAUUGCGCCCGCCAGUAUUCUGGCGGGCAUGCCUGUUCGAGCGUCAUUACAACCCUCAGGCCCCCGGGCCUGGCGUUGGGGAUCGGCGGAAGCCCCCUGCGGGCACAACGCCGUCCCCCAAAUACAGUGGCGGUCCCGCCGCAGCUUCCAUUGCGUAGUAGCUAACACCUCUCAACUGGAGAGCGGCGCGGCCACGCCGUA